AUUGAACGCUGGCGGCAUGCUUUACACAUGCAAGUCGAACGGCAGCGCGGGCUUUGGCCUGGCGGCGAGAGUCGCACGGGUGAGUAAUGCAUCGGAACGUGCCCCGUAGUGGGGGAUAGCCCCUCGAAAGCAGGAUUAAUAACGCCUACUACCUGUAGGUGUUAGAUGGCGACUGCAAAGCCUCUCGCUAUUGGUGACUCCGAUGUCGGAUUAGCUAGUUGGUGGGGGAAAGGGUUACCAAGGCGCACAUCCGUAACUGGUCAUAGAGGACGACCAGCCACACUGGGACGGGGACACGGCCCAGACUCCUACGGGAGGAGGCAGAGGGGAAUUUUGGACAAGGGGGGAAACCCUGAUGCAGACAUGCGGCGGGGUGGAAGAAGUCUUUCGGGUUGUAAGCUGCGUUGGAUGGGGAAGAAAUCCGCGGGGCUAAUACCCCGGGGGGAUGACGGUACCGGAAGAAUAAGCACCGGCUAACUACGUG
rnacentral:rRNA from 1 species